UACGUAGGGUGCGAGCGUUGUCCGGAAUUAUUGGGCGUAAAGAGCUCGUAGGCGGCCUGUUGCGUCGGUUGUGAAAGCCCGGGGCUUAACCCCGGGUCUGCAGUCGAUACGGGCAGGCUAGAGUUCGGUAGGGGAGAUCGGAAUUCCUGGUGUAGCGGUGAAAUGCGCAGAUAUCAGGAGGAACACCGGUGGCGAAGGCGGGUCUCUGGGCCGAUACUGACGCUGAGGAGCGAAAGCGUGGGGAGCGAACAGG
rnacentral:rRNA from 1 species